AAUGGGGGAAACCCUGACGCAGCAACGCCGCGUGGGUGAUGAGGGCCUUCGGGUCGUAAAGCCCUGUCGGGAGGGAAGAAAUGAUCGAGAGCUAAUACCUCUUGGUCUUGACGGUACCUCCGAAGGAAGCACCGGCUAACUCCGUGCCAGCAGCCGCGGUAAUACGUAGGUGGCGAGCGUUGUCCGGAAUUACUGGGCGUAAAGGGCGCGUAGGCGGCCUGUUAAGUCAGAUGUGAAACCCCCAGGCUCAACUUGGGGAUUGCAUAUGAAACUGAUGGGCUCGAGUGUCGGAGAGGAAAGCGGAAUUCCUAGUGUAGCGGUGAAAUCCGUAGAUAUUAGGAGGAACACCGGUGGCGAAGGCGGCUCUCUGGACCGAUACUGACGCUGAGACGCGAAAGCGUGGGUAGCAAA
rnacentral:rRNA from 1 species